UCCUACGGGAGGCAGCAGCUAAGAAUAUUCCGCAAUGGGAGCAAUCCUGACGGAGCGACGCCGCGUGAACGAUGAAGGCAGAAAUGUUGUAAAGUUCUUUUAUACGGGAAGAAUAAGGAUAGGAGUGGAAAGCUUAUCUGAUGACGGUACCGUAUGAAUAAGCCUCGGCUAACUACGUGCCAGCAGCCGCGGUAAUACGUAGGAGGCUAGCGUUGUUCGGAUUUACUGGGCGUAAAGGGCAUGUAGGCUGUUAUCUAAGUGUGGAUUUAAAGGCAGAAGCUCAACUUCUUGCAUGGUCUGCAAACUGGAUAACUUGAGUAUAGAAGGGGGAACUGGAAUUCCACGUGUAGGGGUGAAAUCUGUAGAGAUGUGGAAGAAUACCUGUGGCGAAGGCGAGUUCCUGGUCUAUAACUGACGCUAAAAUGCGAAAGUGUGGGUAGCGAACAGGAUUAGAUACCCUGGUAGUCCACACUGUAAACGUUGUACACUAGGUGUUAGAGGAAUGUUCUUCUAGUGCCGUAGCUAACGCGAUAAGUGUACCGCCUGGGGAGUAUGCUCGCAAGGGUGAAACUCAAAUGAAUUGACGG
rnacentral:rRNA from 1 species